rnacentral:rRNA from 1 species
AGUCGAACGAAGCGCUUAAACGGAUUUCUUCGGAUUGAAGUUUUUGCGACUGAGUGGCGGACGGGUGAGUAACGCGUGGGUAACCUGCCUCGUACAGGGGGAUAACAGUUAGAAAUGACUGCUAAUACCGCAUAAGCGCACAGUGCUGCAUGGCACAGUGUGAAAAACUCCGGUGGUAUGAGAUGGACCCGCGUCUGAUUAGCUAGUUGGUGGGGUAACGGCCUACCAAGGCGACGAUCAGUAGCCGGCCUGAGAGGGUGAACGGUCACAUUGGGACUGAGACACGGCCCAAACUCCUACGGGAGGCAGCAGUGGGGAAUAUUGCACAAUGGGGGAAACCCUGAUGCAGCGACGCCGCGUGAGCGAAGAAGUAUUUCGGUAUGUAAAGCUCUAUCAGCAGGGAAGAAAAUGACGGUACCUGACUAAGAAGCACCGGCUAAAUACGUGCCAGCAGCCGCGGUAAUACGUAUGGUGCAAGCGUUAUCCGGAUUUACUGGGUGUAAAGGGAGCGUAGACGGUUGUGUAAGUCUGAUGUGAAAGCCCGGGGCUCAACCCCGGGACUGCAUUGGAAACUAUGUAACUAGAGUGUCGGAGAGGUAAGCGGAAUUCUUAGUGUAGCGGUGAAAUGCGUAGAUAUUAGGAGGAACACCAGUGGCGAAGGCGGCUUACUGGACGAUCACUGACGUUGAGGCUCGAAAGCGUGGGGAGCAAACAGGAUUAGAUACCCUGGUAGUCCACGCCGUAAACGAUGACUACUAGGUGUCGGGGAGCAAAGCUCUUCGGUGCCGCAGCAAACGCAAUAAGUAGUCCACCUGGGG